rnacentral:lncRNA from 1 species
AUGGCUCCCUACAAACUCACUCGUCUGGGAAAAUGUAACACGAGUCAAAAAGUUCUGAAAUGUUUGAUAACAAGAGGAAGAGAAAGAUCUUAUCAACAGUUUGGGGUCUAUUUCCUUGUGGAAUUGGGGGAUUUAGCAGUCGGUUUCAAGAAGAAGAUCUACAGUGUCAUAUAUCCAAGGUAUGCUUUUUGUGUAAGAAAAUCAGGUCCUAGAAUCCCUACUAUGGAAUUUUGGGGGUAUUUUACCAUGCAACACAGAUACGUUUAUAACACUAGAUAUUUUGAGAUGCCAUUAUCCUUACAAUCAAGCAGUGAUGGGGGAUUAAGACAGAGGAAGUGUGUAUGUUUGUGUGUGUGUGUGUUGUGCACGUGUGUGGGUUCUGGGUGCAUGUGAGUCCUUGCUUGGAGAUGGUAUAGUAGCAUCAUUCAAGUGGGUUGAAGUUCACUUCACCAGUAAUAUGUAAAAACUAGAGGAAGGACAGAAAAUUAAUUUUUUAAAAAUAUGGUCCAUAACAAGGAAAAGUAGAAAGGCCGCCUGUAAGCACAGAUCGAUUUACCUGUAAUACAGUGGCAGUGAUGCUGCGAGAUGGAAUAUUGGUUUCUUCUUAGAGUUUUGAACUUCACAAAGAGUUUGAAAGACAUGAAAGUAAGAAUCAAGGUGAAAGAAGAAAGAAUGCCUUUUUAAAAAGGAAAGCAUUACUGACGAGAAAAUGUUUCUUUUGAAAAUUGAUAGGUACAUAGAGAAGCCCUAAGGUACUGAUAGAUGAAAUGAAAAAGACAUGUAUGUGUUUGAAGGAGAAUGAGAAGGUAGGAGGAUUCAGCAGUCCUUCCUUGCUCCUGAUUAUAUGAAGGCAGAUCGAAAGGCAGCUGGGAGUUCGUACCCUGGUGCAGUGGGUGAAGAAUUCAACUGCAGUGCCUUGGGUCACUGUGGAGGCAUGAGUUUGAUCUCUGCCCAGCACAGUGGGUUAAAGAAUCUGGUUACCUCAGCUUCAGCUGGGAUUCAAUCCCAGGUCGGGGAAAUUCCAUAUGCUGAAGGUGUGGCCAUUAAAAAAAAGAAGAAAGAUAGGCAAUCAGUUACCGUUCCCCAUACCUGGAGUCCAGGCAGCUUCAGUAAAGGCAUCGGUGGCAUUCUCCACUUCUAGCAAGGGAGACUCGUUCUGUUUGUUUUGGAUUCCAGCGCCUUUUUCAACCAGGUUUCCUUUUGAUCUUCCCAUUACUUGUUAGAGGUGAAAUUACAAUAAAUGGAAAUUGGUUCUCUUGAGGCCCA